UAUUGCACAAUGGGCGCAAGCCUGAUGCAGCCAUGCCGCGUGUGUGAAGAAGGCCUUCGGGUUGUAAAGCACUUUCAGUCAGGAGGAAAGGUUAGUAGUUAAUACCUGCUAGCUGUGACGUUACUGACAGAAGAAGCACCGGCUGACUCCGUGCCAGCAGCCGCGGUAAUACGGAGGGUGCGAGCGUUAAUCGGAAUUACUGGGCGUAAAGCGUACGCAGGCGGUUUGUUAAGCGAGAUGUGAAAGCCCCGGGCUCAACCUGGGAACUGCAUUUCGAACUGGCAAACUAGAGUGUGAUAGAGGGUGGUAGAAUUUCAGGUGUAGCGGUGAAAUGCGUAGAGAUCUGAAGGAAUACCGAUGGCGAAGGCGAGCCACCUGGGUCAACACUGACGCUCAUUACGAAA
rnacentral:rRNA from 1 species